rfam:Ictidomys tridecemlineatus contig019915, whole genome shotgun sequence.
AGGGAUAUAGCUCAGUUGGUAGAGUGUUUGCCUUUCAUGCACAAAGCCCUAGGUUCAAAU